rfam:Triticum aestivum genome assembly, contig: Triticum_aestivum_CS42_TGACv1_scaffold_514055_6BS
AAAAUACUCCCUCCGUCCGAAAAUACUUGUCAUCAAAAUGGACAAAAAGGGAUGUAUCUAGAACUAAAAUAUAUCUAGACACAUCCCCAUUUAUUCAUUUUGAUGACAAGUCUUUCCGAACGGAGGAGUACUAC